rnacentral:tRNA from 1 species
ACAAGCUUUGAAACCAUUAGCCAAUUCUCCGGCCUGUCACGCCGGAGGUCGCGGGUUCGAGCCCCGUCACUCGCGCCA